AGUGGCGCCCCUGGGGCGACGGUGUCAGCGCUGGCGACGGGUCUCAGUCCCGCGCUCCUGACGACGCUGCUGACGCUGGCGGCUGACAGACUCACCGCGGCCUGUAAACCUGACGCCGACGUCAGCCUUCCUCUCACCCAACGUCGGGGGGCGGACAGGACGAUGGACGGAGGACGGUGGCGGCAGGACUCGUCGUCCUCGUCGGAGGAGGACGAGGACGUGGCGCCUGACUUGCCUGCUGGGGGCGCCCCUGACGCCGCCGGCCCGAGGACCGAGUGGCGUUUUCGGUGCUCAGUGCUGCCGGCGUCCAGUGCUGCACAAGCGUGCUGUGGUGCUGCUGUGGCCCUCAUCACAGCAUACUAC